rnacentral:rRNA from 1 species
GACGAACGCUAGCGGCGUGCCUAAGGUAUGCAAGUCGAACGGGGGCUUCGGCCCCAGUGGCGCACGGUCGAGUAACACGUAGACAACCUGCCUUCCAGUGGGGGACAACUCCGGGAAACUGGGGCUAAUACCGCAUAGGGCGGUCUGGGGAAUCCCAGGCAUGCUAAAGCUCGCAAGGGCGCUGGGAGAGGGGUCUGCGGCCUAUCAGCUAGCUGGUGUGGUAACGGCGCACCAGGGCGACGACGGGUAGCGGGUCUGAGAGGAUGAUCCGCCGGACGGGGACUGAGACACGGCCCCGACUCCUUCGGGAGGCAGCAAUGAGGAAUAUUGCGCAAUGGGCGAAAGCCUGACGCAGCGACGCCGCGUGGGUGAGGAAGUCCUCGG